GCACGAGAAAGAGGGGGCAACUCCUUGAGUAAAGUGGCGUACGGGUGAGUAACACGUGACUAACCUACCUCCGAAUGGGGAAUAACACCGGGAAACCGGUGCUGAUACCGCAUAACAUCUACGGAUCAAAGCAGCAAUGCGUUUGGAGAGGGGGUCGCGGCUGAUUAGCUAGUUGGUGAGGUAAUGGCUCACCAAGGCGACGAUCAGUAUCCGGCCUGAGAGGGCGCACGGACACACUGGAACUGAAACACGGUCCAGACUCCUACGGGAGGCAGCAGUGGGGAAUUUUGCGCAAUGGGGGAAACCCUGACGCAGCAACGCCGCGUGGAGGAUGAAGGCCUUCGGGUCGUAAAACUCUGUUGUUAGGGAAGAACAAGUACCGGAGUAACUGACGGUACCUUGACGGUACCUAACCAGAAAGCCACGGCUAACUACGUGCCAGCAGCCGCGGUAAU
rnacentral:rRNA from 1 species